GAGACAUGGUCUCACAGGGAAUAUUACCAUUCGAUUGCAAAGGGGUGCGGGGAAUGUGCGUUUGAUGUAGAUACCCGAGAUACCGACGCAUUUUGUGGAGGAAUGGAAAACUUCAAGUUAAAUUCCGAGAAAACCUGCCGAAAUUCGCUGCGGUGAUACCUUUGAUGGCACGGUUGGAAUCAACUGCGAAACAAAUCAAGAUGGCCAACUUGUUGAGGCUGUUGGGGCUGACUUGGGGCUGAACUCCGCCCACGAAAAACCAUCCUCUGUAUAACUCAAUCUUAUCUCACACCGCAAACGGGCAUACCCACA
rnacentral:sRNA from 2 species